AAGCACCUUAGUCCCAGUCCACCC
rnacentral:siRNA from 1 species